UACAUGUGGGGCAAGCGUUGUUCGGAAUUACUGGGCAUAAAGGGUGCGUAGGCGGCUUGUUAAGUCAGGGGUGAAAGUUUUCGGCCCAACCGGAAAAUUGCCUUUGAUACUGGCGAGCUGGAGUGCGUGAGGGGUGACCGGAACGAGUGGUGUAGCGGUGAUAUGCGUAGAUAUCGGGAGGAACACCAGUGGCGAAGGCGGCUCUCUGGGCCCUACCUGACGCUGAGACGCGAAAGCGUGGGGAGCGAACCGG
rnacentral:rRNA from 1 species